AGAAUCAACGCUGGCGGCGUGCCUAACACAUGCAAGUCGCACGAGAAAGGGACUUCGGUCCUGAGUAAAGUGGCGCACGGGUGAGUAACACGUGAAUCAUCUACCUCCGAGUGGGGAAUAACCUAGAGAAAUCUGGGCUAAUACCGCAUAACACUUACGAGUCAAAGCAGCAAUGCGCUUGGAGAGGAGUUCGCGGCAGAUUAGCUAGUUGGCGGGUAAUGGCCCACCAAGGCGAUGAUCUGUA
rnacentral:rRNA from 1 species